GUACCCGAGACUCUACGGUGACCUUUGAUCUUCCUGGCAUCGGUGUGCCCUAGAGUUUGAGGUUUUGUUUUUGUUUUUGUUGUUAAAUGAUUAAAGACAAAGAUUCUCGAGAAGUGUGCUUUCCUUUCACAGUUUUAUCAUAGCUUCAUCUCUCACCUUGGAAAGAAUCAAGAGCUCUGGAUUCCCAAAGCCUCAGGACCUAACUGAUAUCAGGCACUAUGCUCAUUCUACAAAGAGAUCAUGUUUGCAGAGUACUGACCACCAUCCAGGAAGAGAAGCUUUGUUUCUGAUGAGAACCUACUUCUGACCUACUGAAAGCUACAACUGCAAACAUAUGCACUGAGUGUCAUUAACACUGUUUCUUGAGGGGGAGUACGGUUCUGAGUGAAUCUGAAUGUGGGAAAUGAGGGAGAGAUGAUAUCUGAAAACCUCUGUAAGUUGCCUCAUGCUGCCUAAUAAAGAAUGAAUAAAGUAAGG
rnacentral:lncRNA from 1 species